AUUGAACGCUGGCGGCAGGCCUAACACAUGCAAGUCGAGCGGAUGAAGGGAGCUUGCUCCUGGAUUCAGCGGCGGACGGGUGAGUAAUGCCUAGGAAUCUGCCUGGUAGUGGGGGAUAACGUCCGGAAACGGGCGCUAAUACCGCAUACGUCCUGAGGGAGAAGGUGGGGGAUCUUCGGACCUCACGCUAUCAGAUGAGCCUAGGUCGGAUUAGCUAGUUGGUUGGGUAAAGGCCUACCAAGGCGACGAUCCGUAACUGGUCUGAGAGGAUGAUCAGUCACACUGGAACUGAGACACGGUCCAGACUCCUACGGGAGGCAGCAGUGGGGAAUAUUGGAAAAUGGGCGAAAGCCUGAUCCAGCCAAGACGCGUGUGUGAAGAAGGUCAUCGGAUUGUAAAGAACUUUAAGUUGGGAGGAAGGGCAGUAAGUUAAUACCUUGCUGUUUUGACGUUACCAACAGAAUAAGCACCGGCUAAAUUCGUG
rnacentral:rRNA from 1 species